rnacentral:rRNA from 1 species
ACUCAAAUGAAUUGACGGGGGCCCGCACAAGCAGUGGAGUAUGUGGUUUAAUUCGAAGCAACGCGAAGAACCUUACCAGGGCUUGACAUGCAAGUGAAUAUUUAAAGAGAUUUAAAUAGCUCUUCGGAGCACUUGUGCAGGUGGUGCAUGGUUGUCGUCAGCUCGUGUCGUGAGAUGUUAGGUUAAGUCCUGCAACGAGCGCAACCCCUGUUGCUAGUUACCAUCAAGUAAAGUUGGGGACUCUAGCGAGACUGCCGUAGAAAAUACGGAGGAAGGUGGGGACGAUGUCAAAUCAUCAUGCCCUAUAUGUCCUGGGCAACACACGUACUACAAUGGCCGUAGACAAAGGGAAGCGAAGUAGAGAUAUGGAGCAAAGCCGAAAAAAGCGGUCUCAGUUCGGAUUGAAGGCUGAAAUUCGCCUACAUGAAGCAGGAAUUGCUAGUAAUGGCAGGUCAGCAUACUGCCGUGAAUACGUUCCCGGGCCUUGUACACACCGCCCGU